UUUUUUUUUUUUGCUAACAUUUGUGUCUUUAGUUGAAGUACCAUGUGAAGAAUGGCUGACAAACUGCUUUAUAACAAAACUUCAGAGGUUCGUGAAUUGUCAGGAUCACAUCAGUUUAAAAUACAAUAAUACAAAAGUUGGAUAAAGAAUUGAGUAUUCCAAAAAAAGCCAGUGCAUGUGGGUGAUCAUAGAGCAUAGUGAAUAAUUGAAUUGAGCCGUUUGAUCCUAGGACUUGGAGGAGAGAU
rnacentral:lncRNA from 1 species